UCAUCGUAGGGUUAGUCGGGUCCUAAGUCGAGUCCGAAAGGGGUAGACGAUGGCAAAUAGGUUAAUAUUCCUAUACUUAUAUAGAGCGUGAUGUGGGGACGCAUAGAGUUAAUCGAGCUGGCUGAUGGAAUAGCUGGUCGAAGGACGUAGGUCGUAAUUUAGGCAAAUCCGGAUUACAUGAGACCGAGAUCUUACAGGCAGACAAAGCUCUUCGGAGGUGCGUUUGAAUCGAUGAUACUGUCGUGCCAAGAAAAGCCACUAAGCAUAUCUAUAAUAACCCGUACCGUAAACCGACACAGGUAGGUGGGAUGAGUAUUCUAAGGCGCGUGGAAGAACCCUGGUUAAGGAACUCUGCAAACUAGCACCGUAUCUUCGGUAUAAGGUGUGCCCUUAGUACGUAAGGAAACUAGCUUUCUAAGCGGAAUAGGGCGACAACAAAGAGUCCCUCCCGA
rnacentral:rRNA from 1 species